UACAGGAGAGUGCAAGCGUUUGUUCGGAAUUAUUGGGCGUAAAGCGCGUGUAGGCGGCAGUGCAAGUCGGGUGUGAAAGCCCUCAGCUCAACUGAGGAAGUGCGCCCGAAACUGCAUUGCUUGAGUACCGGAGAGGAUGGUGGAAUUCCCGAAGUAGAGGUGAAAUUCGUAGAUAUCGGGAGGAACACCGGUGGCGAAGGCGACCAUCUGGACGGAUACGUGACGCUGAGACGCGAAAAGCGUGGGUAGCAAACGAGGA
rnacentral:rRNA from 1 species